AGUCAUCUUUUGUUCUGGGGACAAAUGACAAGAGGUUUGAAGAGUUGAUUAUUUGGGACUUGAAGGAGGUUUGACAUGAGAACCUGCAUUUAAAACCACAGAUUGGGCUCUGCUUGCUGGACCCCAGUGGUUGGACUGAGUCCCAUGAAGCCAGAUCACUUCUGACUGCAAGGAGCUUGGAAAAGCAAGUAUCUGGAUCUUUUACCAGCUAAAUUUGGAGAAUUAUUGAUCAAAUUUGGAUCUCUGUGUGCUGUCCUCCAAUUUAAUACUUUCUGUGUUGCUGUUUUAUUUUCUUUCUUCUGGAACCUGGCAAAGUGCGUCAAGCGAUGAGGCUUCCUCUUUGAAGAUCACAGGUGAGAAGAUUAGGUGCUUUCUCAGAAGCCCAGCAACCUGAUGGGAGUGUGGAGUGAGCAAGACCCAAAUCGGAGCUUCAUCCCUGCAUGGUUCAUUUUGCUUAUUUGGCAAACUUGCCCUGCAGAUUGAGAAAUUAAGGUCGCAUCAUAUAAGUGAAGUUGAACACUACUUUUCUAAUACCCUACAUCAGGUACGUUCCUAAAUAAACUGGAACUUACCUCAGAAGCCUCAGAAAAUUAGGAAAAUAAAAUGCAUUACUUUGUAUAUUAAGAAGCUCAAAAUCCCAUAUUUGAUUCACUAUAGAAUUACUUCAGAAUCUCAUAUGUUGUUUAAGCAAAACCUGUCUCAUAUUAAAACAUACCUACUGCUGUGUUGUCUAUUUGCUUUUCUCUUUUUAAAUGCCCUUUUGAGAAAUGCUGCAAAAAUUUUGUCCUGACAUGUGGGGGCCCAACUGUUUCCUGCUAUACUCAGCUUGGAGGACAUAGCCUCUAGGUUAUACUCUUUUGAAAUUGUCCUGUUGAAAUGCAUGUUUUGAUUUUGGGAUUUUCCAGAUGCUUCCUAAGUAGGUCCCAUGUGUUAAAACUUGUGGAAAUUCAGCAUGUUUCUCAAUGUGAGGCAUCUAAGUAGUUCACAAAUUUAAGGCAAUUAGUCUAUUACUGGGAUAAGACGAUUAAUUCUAUUAUAUUCCAUUGUUUACAUAUUACUUGUUUAAUCCAUUUCCUAUUCUAUGCUUUGUUUUUUCAUUUGUCUGAAUUAUUAAAAGUCACUACAUUUUAACAUUUUAAGCAAUUUAAUUUUUAUAUAUAAUUAUAUCCUUUGGCUAUUUAAACUGAAGACACAUUGUAUAUGUAAAUCAAAUUAAGAAAAAUAAAUGGAGAGUGUGUUCAC
rnacentral:lncRNA from 1 species